rnacentral:rRNA from 1 species
CGCGUAGGUGGUUCGAUAAGUCGCUGGUGAAAUUCCGGGGCUCAACUCCGGAGCUGCCGGCGAGACUGUCGGACUUGAGCACGGUAGGGGCAGAUGGAAUUCCCGGUGUAGCGGUGGAAUGCGUAGAUAUCGGGAAGAAUACCAGUGGCGAAGGCGUUCUGCUGGGCCGUUGCUGACACUGAGGCGCGACAGCGUGGGAGCAAACA